rnacentral:rRNA from 1 species
UACGGAGGGUGCUAGCGUUGUUCGGAAUUACUGGGCGUAAAGGGCGCGUAGGCGGCCGUUUGCGUCGGAUGUGAAAGCCCACGGCUCAACCGUGGAGGGUCAUUGGAAACUGGAGGACUUGAGUACAGAAGAGGAAAGCGGAAUUCCACGUGUAGCGGUGAAAUGCGCAGAUAUCAGGAGGAACACCGGUGGCGAAGGCGGGUCUCUGGGCCGAUACUGACGCUGAGAAGCGAAAGCGUGGGGAGCGAACAGG